UUCUGGCCUCAAAUCAGGUGGGACUACCCGCUGAACUUAAGCAUAUCAAUAAGCGGAGGAAAAGAAACUAACAAGGAUUCCCCUAGUAACUGCGAGUGAAGCGGGAUGAGCUCAAAUUUAAAAUCCGGUAGUCUCUGACUGCCUGAAUUGUAAUCUAGAGAAGUGUUUUCUGUGCUGGACUGUGUUCAAGUUUCCUGGAUAUGGAACAUCAUAGAGGGUGAGAAUCCCGUCUUUGACACAGACCCCCCAGUGCUUUAUGAUGCACUCUCA
rnacentral:rRNA from 1 species